rnacentral:tRNA from 1 species
AAGGGUAUAGUUCAGUGGUAGAGUGCAUGUUUAGCCCACAAGGGCCUGGGUUCAUUUCCCAGUACCUCUG